GCGGAAGUAGUUCAGUGGUUGAACACCACCUUGCCAAGGUGGGGGUCGCGGGUUCGAAUCCCGUCUUCCGCUCCA
rnacentral:tRNA from 1 species